rnacentral:rRNA from 1 species
GUGGGGAAUAUUGGACAAUGGGCGAAAGCCUGAUCCAGCCAUGCCGCGUGUGUGAAGAAGGUCUUCGGAUUGUAAAGCACUUUAAGUUGGGAGGAAGGGCAGUAAGUUAAUACCUUGCUGUUUUGACGUUACCAACAGAAUAAGCACCGGCUAACUUCGUGCCAGCAGCCGCGGUAAUACGAAGGGUGCAAGCGUUAAUCGGAAUUACUGGGCGUAAAGCGCGCGUAGGUGGUUCAGCAAGUUGAAGGUGAAAUCCCCGGGCUCAACCUGGGAACUGCCUCCAAAACUACUGAGCUAGAGUACGGUAGAGGGUAGUGGAAUUUCCUGUGUAGCGGUGAAAUGCGUAGAUAUAGGAAGGAACAACAGUGGCGAAGGCGACUACCUGGACUGAUACUGACACUGAGGUGCGAAAGCGUGGGGAGCAAACAGGAUUAGAAACCCUUGUAGUCC